AGAGUUUGAUCAUGGCUCAGAUUGAACGCUGGCGGCAGGCCUAACACAUGCAAGUCGAACGGUAACAGGAAACAGCUUGCUGUUUCGCUGACGAGUGGCGGACGGGUGAGUAAUGUCUGGGAAACUGCCUGAUGGAGGGGGAUAACUACUGGAAACGGUAGCUAAUACCGCAUAACGUCGCAAGACCAAAGAGGGGGACCUUCGGGCCUCUUGCCAUCGGAUGUGCCCAGAUGGGAUUAGCUAGUAGGUGGGGUAACGGCUCACCUAGGCGACGAUCCCUAGCUGGUCUGAGAGGAUGACCAGCCACACUGGAACUGAGACACGGUCCAGACUCCUACGGGAGGCAGCAGUGGGGAAUAUUGCACAAUGGGCGCAAGCCUGAUGCAGCCAUGCCGCGUGUAUGAAGAAGGCCUUCGGGUUGUAAAGUACUUUCAGCGGGGAGGAAGGGAGUAAAGUUAAUACCUUUGCUCAUUGACGUUACCCGCAGAAGAAGCACCGCGG
rnacentral:rRNA from 1 species